rnacentral:rRNA from 1 species
GAUGAACGCUGGCGGCGUGCCUAAUACAUGCAAGUCGAGCGAACAGACGAGGAGCUUGCUCCUCUGACGUUAGCGGCGGACGGGUGAGUAACACGUGGAUAACCUACCUAUAAGACUGGGAUAACUUCGGGAAACCGGAGCUAAUACCGGAUAAUAUAUUGAACCGCAUGGUUCAAUAGUGAAAGACGGUUUUGCUGUCACUUAUAGAUGGAUCCGCGCCGCAUUAGCUAGUUGGUAAGGUAACGGCUUACCAAGGCGACGAUGCGUAGCCGACCUGAGAGGGUGAUCGGCCACACUGGAACUGAGACACGGUCCAGACUCCUACGGGAGGCAGCAGUAGGGAAUCUUCCGCAAUGGGCGAAAGCCUGACGGAGCAACGCCGCGUGAGUGAUGAAGGUCUUCGGAUCGUAAAACUCUGUUAUUAGGGAAGAACAAAUGUGUAAGUAACUAUGCACGUCUUGACGGUACCUAAUCAGAAAGCCACGGCUUACUACGUG